UUUCGCAAUGCCCGAAAGGGUGACGAAGCGACGCCGCGUGAGUGAGGAAGGCCUUCGGGUUGUAAAGCUCUGUCAGGAGUUAAGAAAUAUAAGUGUGUUAAUACCACAUUUAUUUGACGAAGGCUCCAAAGGAAGCCACGGCUAGCUCUGUGCCAGCAGCCGCGGUAAUACAGAGGUGGCAAGCGUUGUUCGGAAUUAUUGGGCGUAAAGAGCACGUAGGUGGGUUUGUAAGUCAGAUGUGAAAGCCUUCUGUUCAACGGAAGAAUUGCAUCUGAAACUGCGAGUCUUGAGUGUAGGAGGGGAGAAUGGAACUUCUGGUGGAGCGGUGAAAUGCGUAGAUAUCAGAAGGAACGCCGGCGGCGAAAGCGAUUCUCUGGCCUAUUACUGACACUCGGUGUGCGAAAGCUAGGGGAGCAAACGGGAUUAGAUACCCCGGUAGUCCUAGCUGUAAACGAUGGGCACUAAGUAGAGGGGUUUUA
rnacentral:rRNA from 1 species